rnacentral:rRNA from 1 species
GAUGAACGCUAGCUACAGGCUUAACACAUGCAAGUCGAGGGGUAACGAGAGGAAAGCUUGCUUUCCUUGUCGACGACCGGCGCACGGGUGAGUAACGCGUAUCCAACCUGCCCCCAACUAGGGAAUAACCUUGCGAAAGUAAGACUAAUACCCUAUAAUUUCCUCAGAUGUCAUCUGACGAGGACUAAAGAUUUAUCGGUUGUGGAUGGGGAUGCGUCUGAUUAGCUUGUUGGCGGGGUAACGGCCCACCAAGGCAACGAUCAGUAGGGGUUCUGAGAGGAAGGUCCCCCACAUUGGAACUGAGACACGGUCCAAACUCCUACGGGAGGCAGCAGUGAGGAAUAUUGGUCAAUGGGCGGAAGCCUGAACCAGCCAAGGAGCGUGCAGGAUGACGGCCCUAUGGGUUGUAAACUGCUUUUAUACAGGAAUAAAGUUAGCCACGUGUGGUUAUUUGUAGGUACUGUAUGAAUAAGGACCGGCUAAUUCCGUGCCAGCAGCCGCCGUAA